AGUGAACGCUGGCGGCGUGCCUAAUACAUGCAAGUCGAACGGAGUGGCGCACGGGUGAGUAAUAUAUAGCUAAUCUGCCCCUCGCUGGAGGGCAACCGUUAGCAAUGACUGCUAAUACUCCAUAGCAAGGGAUGCGACUAUAUCGUAUCAGCUAGUCGGUGGGGUAACGGCCUACCGAGGCUAGGACGCGUAACUGGGCUGAGAGGAUGAUCAGUCACAGUUGAACGGAGACACGGUCGAAACUCCUACGGGAGGCAGCAGAAGGGAAUAUUGCGCAAUGGGGGAAACCCUUACGGAGCAACGCCGCGUGGAGGAUGACACUUUUCGGAGAGUAAACUCCUUUUGUUAGGGAAGCGGUACCUAACGAAUAAGCACCGGCUAACUCCGUGCCAGCAGCCGCGGUAAUUC
rnacentral:rRNA from 1 species